GUAGGUGGCAAGCGUUGUCCGGAAUUAUUGGGCGUAAAGCGCGCGCAGGCGGUCCUUUAAGUCUGAUGUGAAAGCCCACGGCUCAACCGUGGAGGGUCAUUGGAAACUGGGGGACUUGAGUACAGAAGAGGAAAGCGGAAUUCCAAGUGUAGCGGUGAAAUGCGUAGAGAUUUGGAGGAACACCAGUGGCGAAGGCGGCUUUCUGGUCUGUAACUGACGCUGAGGCGCGAAAGCGUGGGGAGCAAACAGGGAUUAGAUACCCUGGUAGUCCACGCCGUAAACGAUGAGUGCUAAGUGUUAGGGGGUUUCCCGCCCCUUAGUGCUGCAGCUAACGCAUUAAGCACUCCGCCUGGGGAGUAUGGCCGCAAGGCUG
rnacentral:rRNA from 1 species